AAAAGUUACCAGAGGGAUAACUGGCUUGUGGCAGCCUAGCGCCCAUAGCGACGUUGCUUUUUGAUUCUUCGAUGUCGGCUCUUCCUAUUCUUGUGAAGCAGAAUUCACAAUGGAUUAGAUUGUUCACCUACCAACAGGGAACGUGAGCUGGGUUUAGACCGUCGUGAGACAGGUUAGUUUUACCCUACUGAUGAAACGAUGUUGCGACAGUAAUCUAACUUAGUACGAGAGGAACCGUUAGAUCAGAUACUUGGUAAAUACGGUUAGCUGAAAAGCUAAUGCCGGGAAGCUACCAUCUGUAGGAUUAUGACUGAACGCCUCUAAGUCAGAAUCCAUGCUGGAAAGCAACGUCUAAUCAAUAAUAAAUGAAAAACAUUAGGGGAAACCCAAAGUUCAUACUAUGGCUUGCUCCGCCCUUCUCAAUGAAGGUAGCGGUAAAAGCCGAAUCCUAAUUUCGAAUUAUUAUUGACACAAAUCUUUUGUAGACGACUUAACUUGGGACCGGGUAUUGUACGUCUGAGAGUAGGAUCACCCUACGAUCGACUGAGAUUCAGCCCGCGCUCCUACGAUU
rnacentral:rRNA from 1 species